rnacentral:rRNA from 1 species
GUGUCAGCAGCCGCGGUAAUACGGAGGGUGCGAGCGUUAUCCGGAAUCACUGGGCGUAAAGGGCAUGUAGGUGGUUUGUUAAGUCUGAUGUUAAAGGCUGGGGCUCAACCCUGGUAUGGCGUUGGAUACUGGCAGGCUUGACGGUUGGAGAGGCGAGUGGAAUUGCCAGUGUAGCGGUGGAAUGCGUAGAUACUGGUAGGAACACCUAUUGCGAAGGCAGCUCGCUGGACAACUCGUGACGCUGAGGUGCGAAAGUGUGGGGAGCAAACCGGAUUAGAUACCCGGGUAGUCCACACCCUAAACGAUGCAUACUUGGUGUUGGCCCGUUGGGGUCGGUGCCGGAGUUAACGCGUUAAGUAUGCCGCCUGGGUAGUACGGCCGCAAGGUUGAA